AGACAGAAGAGGCGACGUUGCUUUCUUAACCACUGGAUUUGCAGUGCUGUGGUUCUCAGAAGAGGCCAGGACAGGUUAAUCCACUCACUUGGGAGGCAGGCAGCCGGUGCAGAGCUGAGAAUUUACCCCAGGCUACCAGCCUUCCGGCUGAGAGAGCAAGCUGACGCACGGUUCCUCAGCUGUCCCAUGGAGCCUGUUGCGGCCAUCCACCUCCUUCAAAGGGUAUGUGGAUUCUCUCAGCUUUCCUGGUUGAAUGUACAGCUGGUAUAAAAAUGGUGCUUUGUCGUCAUGAAGAAGGUGUAUUCUGGGAUCAAACCACCUGGCUGGAGAUGCUUACUAACCUCAGUUUCUUCAUCUGCUGGACUGAUGUUUGCCUGUGUGAUAGGAAUCUCAAGAGCCUUCAAACAUCCAUAUUAUGCUGAUGUCUUUUAAGGUGAUUCAACUCAGCAUAUGUUGUUUGAAGCCGUGAGACUGAGUGAGAUCAUGGAGGAAGUGAAUGUAAAUAGAAAAGGGAAGAAGUCUGAAGACGGAGCCCUGAGACACUCCAUUGUAAACUGGAAGAUGAGGAAGAGCCAGCAAAGGAGACUGAGAAGGGGCAGCCAGUGAAGAUGGAGCCAGGGCUAGAGUAAGAGCCCCUUCUGGGAUGCUGUGACCCCCAAGUUUGAAGACUGCUGAUAACCCCAAUCUACGAAGACUAGCUAUGGAACUUCCUACACUGAGACAACUCCAGUGGAACUCUGAUAAUUAUCCUAAAAUAAGGAGGCUUCUUCAGUAGCCCUCGAAAUAUGUUCAAAUACAUGAUUACAUUUAUGUCC
ensembl:lncRNA LNCAROD lncRNA activating regulator of DKK1